rnacentral:rRNA from 1 species
UACAGAGGGGGCAAGCGUUGUUCGGAAUUACUGGGCGUAAAGGGCGCGUAGGCGGCCUUCUAAGUCGAACGUGAAAUCCCCGGGCUCAACCUGGGAACUGCGUCGGAUACUGGAUGGCUUGAAUCCGGGAGAGGGAUGCGGAAUUCCAGGUGUAGCGGUGAAAUGCGUAGAUAUCUGGAGGAACACCGGUGGCGAAGGCGGCAUCCUGGACCGGCAUUGACGCUGAGGAGCGAAAGCCAGGGGAGCAAACGGG